UAAUACGUAGGUGGCGAGCGUUAUCCGGAUUUAUUGGGCGUAAAGAGGGCGCAGGCGGUUUUUCAAGUCGGAUGUAAAAUCUUCCAGCUUAACUGGAAGGGAUCAUUCGAUACUGUUAAACUGGAGUGCAACAGGGGGAGGUAGAAUUCCCGGUGUAGUGGUGAAAUGCGUAGAUAUCGGGAGGAAUACCAGUGGCGAAGGCGGCCUCCUGGGUUGUUACUGACGCUUAAGCCCGAAGGCGUGGGAGCAAACAGGAUUAGAUACCCUGGUAGUCCACGCUGUAAACUAUGGACAUUGGGUAUAGGGAGUAUCGACCCUCUCUGUGCCGAAGCUAACGCGUUAAGUGUCCCGUCUGGGAAGUACGGCCGCAAGGCUA
rnacentral:rRNA from 1 species